UCACUUUCAGAAAUCAAUUCAUUUCUCUCUCAAUUCUCUCUCUCUAAAAUUCAAAAUCUGGGCUCCGAUUAACUUAAAAUUCUAAAUCUGGGCUCCAUUUCUCUCUAAAAUCAAUCCAUUCUCAUCUUCAAAACCAAAAUAAAUAUGUUUACCAAAGGGGUUCAUGGAAGGGAAGACUUCGAAGCCGACUUCAAAUCCAAAAUAAAUAUGUCGCCGCCGCUCCUCCACUUCACUCUCCUACACUCAAUCGCUUCUCCGCCGCACUUCUCCGGUCGCCGCCGCUUCAAUCCUUCACUCUCCUACACUCAAUCCUUCGAUACAUGAAAGUGACAAUAAAAAAAGAUGAUUUCCCAAAUUAAAAGUUUCAAUUUUGAAGUGGAAUCACACCUCAACAUCUUCAACAGAAGAGUUUCUGGGUUUUGAGAUUUUCUUGAAAUUGAAAGAUGGGGAUAAGAUUUGAUGGUGAAUUUUGUGGUUGAAAUGGGAAUUGAAAGGUUUGAUGUUGAGUGGGAUAUUAAUGCUGGAUUUGAAGAAUGAUGAAGGUGGUGUUUGGGUUUGAUUUGAAUAUGGGUUUGUUUAUAUCACCGACAUAACAGCUAAUGGGUAUGCACUUCUGUAUUAUCUUGAUUUAUCUUAUUGGUUUGCUUGAUUUUGCAUACUGUCGAAUUUCUAUUUGAGCUUUCAUGUCUUUGUUCAAUUGCAUGUGAUUUUUAGGUUUGUGAUUUUGGGCAUCCAUUUUGAUGUUUAUUUUCUAAUUGGAUAAGCUUUUUGAAGUUGGAUUUUAUGAAGCCCACCAACUGUUUGUAAAAAUGUCAGUAACAAAAAAUGUUGGGAUUUGUCUAAGAGGGAUAUUGCACAGUGGAAGAGCUCACGUACGACUACAGGUGCUCGUGAGCUUUGAAAGUCAAAUCAUGGCUGGACAAUGAGACCACAUCCGCUCUCUGCCUUCUGCGAAACCAUCCAGGUAUUUGAAAAAUAAAAUCAACUUUUGCAGCUUAGAAACAAUGGAUUAUAUUCAGUUAUAAGUUAGUGGAUUAUAGUUUGAAAAUGUCAGAAUUAUGAUUCUGUUUUAGCGCAAGUGAUUAUCAUUAUUUCAUUUGCUAAUCAAUUAAAUAAUUUGUUUCUAUUUCAUUGAUUUGGCGCAAUUGAGGAUUUGUAACUAAUUUGCCAUGUGUUUAUGCUUGGAGUUGGAGUAUGAACUAGAGUGCUUAAUGGUUGAGUUUGAUUCCAAUCUUCAUAUUGAUGAGAAGCCUCCCAUACUUCUAAGAGACGUCUUCAAAAAAUGAAGCCAUUCUUAAUGGCUUAUGAAAAUAUUCAAACAUAAAAGUAUGGCAUGUAAGUCAACAUCCCAAGUCCAUUUUGACUUUUGACAUACUUAAAAUUCACUGACAAUCUUUCUCAUUUACGUCUACUCUUGGUUUAAUAAACUAGGUUUCUUAAUAAGGUUAGCUGACUAAGUAUAGUUCUUUUUUUUCCCAGUUUGGAAUACGUUACUAUUGGUUAAACAGAUCGGUUAAUGACCAAUAUAACUUUCAUGACCGAGGUUAGCAACUUUAUUACUAUCUAUAUUUGUAUCACAUUUUUACUGAACUAUCAUGGUUUUAAGUUCCAAAUCGUUAAAACUAAACCGUGAACCGGACCAUAUAUAUUUAAAGUUGUAGUAACAAGAGACUACAAGGCUAUUUCUUUGAAGUGCUUUGAAGAAUCUGCUCCUCCCAAUGACAAAGACUCAACAUCUGCUACUCCAAAGGUCUGGCAAAGCUAAAGUCUGCCAAAAGAGAACAUCUGCUUGAAGAUAAAGUCUGCUGAUCCAAAGAUCUGCCAAAGUGAAACUCUGCUGAUGAAGACAAAAUCUAAAGAAGCAAAGGUCUGCUAUGGCUCAACAGAUGUUAAAGACCAACAGAUAGGGGCGGCAAUUCCUGACACGACCCGAAACCCGACCCGAACCCGACCCGAAAAAAAACAGGUUUUGGGUCAGCUGAAACGACCCGUUUAAAAAACGGGCCGGGUUCGGGUUGACCCGUAAAAAAAAUAGAUUGAUCCGUUAACCCGUUUAAGUUAAUAUUAUUAAAAAAGUAUUUUUUGAAAUUUUAUAAUUAUUUUUAGUUACGUUCCCUCCUAAAGUGUACAAUAUAACUUAAUUAUUAUUUGAUUUUCCAACAAACCUUUUCAGAAAGCCCCUUUGAAUUCCACCGGAAUUCUAAACGUUUAUCUUCUCCAGCAACCAAAAUUAACUUAUAUAUUCUAAAGCCCUAAUUUUGAAUCCCCCACCAUGUUUCUUAGGGGGCGUUUGGUUCGCGGAAUGUGUAGGAAUUGGAAUUGGAAUCCCUUAGGGAAUUGUAAUUUGAAUUGGAAUUUGAUGGAUUCCUUUGAAAUCCAUAGAUGUGUUUGGUUAAUAAAUGUAUUAAUGAAUUAGAAUUUAAAAAUACCUAAAAAGACAAA